ACAUACAACCACAGAGAGUGAAGUACAAGCCAUCCCGUUCGCUCUGGCAUGCUGAAGCUACUGGUCGGUAGGGUAGUAGCGGAGUCGCUGACGAUCUGCGAAGGUCUACUGUUGUAUGUU
rnacentral:rRNA from 1 species